UACGUAGGUGGCAAGCGUUAUCCGGAAUUAUUGGGCGUAAAGAGCGCGCAGGUGGUUGAUUAAGUCUGAUGUGAAAGCCCACGGCUUAACCGUGGAGGGUCAUUGGAAACUGGUCGACUUGAGUGCAGAAAAGGGAAGUGGAAUUCCAUGUGUAGCGGUGAAAUGCGUAGAGAUAUGGAGGAACACCAGUGGCGAAGGCGGCUUCCUGGUCUGUAACUGACACUGAGGCGCGAAAGCGUGGGGAGCAAACAGGAUUAGAUACCCU
rnacentral:rRNA from 1 species